rfam:Peptoniphilus sp. BV3C26 contig00009, whole genome shotgun sequence.
ACUUAAAUGUAACCGCACAGAGUAGGUAUUAAGUCUUAGACGCCUACAAUGGCGAGUCUUAUUUAUGAG